GGUAAAAGAUCAGAUGAUCAUCUGAUUUUCCUAUUAGUCUGUAUCUUCAUUGUGGUCAUCAUCGUGUGUUGUGUUUUAUACAUAACACGUGAAUAUCUAAAAGUGUGCAAAGAACGUGAUGAAAACACAUCCUUGGACCAAGUACUCACUCUUCCCUCCAAUCAGAACAAAAAAAAUGAAAAGUGGAACUCAGGAUUUAACGUGUUGACUGAGGAUGAGGAGAUAGAUUCAGAAGGAGCCAUGCGACUCACUGCUUCUGUUCAUGCACUUCAUUCCUCUUCAACAGACAUAAACACUAUCACUGAACUUUCAGAAACCAGCAAUGAUCAGCAAGUUCAUCUGAAAAAUUCAGAGGAAAAUGUGACAAUGAGUGAUUGGGGAGGCAAAAAACAUGAAGGACAAAGCAACACUUGGACAGGAACCAGUUAUACAUAUCCAUCCAUCCAUCCAUCCAUCCAUUUUUUACCGUUUGUUCCUCUCGAAGUCGCGGGAGGUGCUGGAACCUAUUUCAGCUGCAUUUGGGCGGAAGGCGGCGUACACCCUGGACAAGUCACCACCUCAUCGCAGGGCCAAUACAGAGAGACAACAUUCACAAACUAGGGCCAAUUUAGUGUUGCCAGUCAAUGAAUUUUGUAGUGAUUUCUAAAUAGUAGAAACCCAACAUAUCCUGUGAGAUGAGCAACAAUUUAAGAGAUGAGUCCCAAUUUAAACGGUGUUAUUAUA